AACGAACGCUGGCGGCAUGCCUAACACAUGCAAGUCGAACGAGACCUUCGGGUCUAGUGGCGCACGGGUGCGUAACGCGUGGGAAUCUGCCCCUGGGUUCGGAAUAACAGUUGGAAACGACCGCUAAUACCGGAUGAUGACGUAAGUCCAAAGAUUUAUCGCCCAAGGAUGAGCCCGCGUAGGAUUAGCUAGUUGGUGAGGUAAAGGCUCACCAAGGCGACGAUCCUUAGCUGGUCUGAGAGGAUGAUCAGCCACACUGGGACUGAGACACGGCCCAGACUCCUACGGGAGGCAGCAGUGGGGAAUAUUGGACAAUGGGCGAAAGCCUGAUCCAGCAAUGCCGCGUGAGUGAUGAAGGCCUUAGGGUUGUAAAGCUCUUUUACCCGGGAUGAUAAUGACAGUACCGGGAGAAUAAGCUCCGGCUAACUCCGUG
rnacentral:rRNA from 1 species